ACUGUUUUGUUCGUUGUUCUCA
rnacentral:miRNA from 1 species